CGUAGGCCAACCACCCUUAUAACUCUACUCUCUGUCUCGUACAACAACAUCAGCCUACAAAACAACAAUAAUAUCAUCGAACAAUGGCAAGUUCACCAGUAAUAAAGCAGCAACAUACAACCUUAACUACAAUAACAAACAACAUCAACUAGUGACAACAACCAAUACUCAACAACUUUGUCUCUUAUUCCUCCAAUUCUUUUCAUCUGCGCACAAGAUUAAACUUGCCAAGCAUGCCCUCCAUACCUUCAAAAAUGUUCCAGCAAUUUUUCUUCAAAUUUAUCCAUUUCCCUUUUAAAAUUCAUACUAAUUAGUACGAAACUUGCCUCAUACAACCUUAUCCUCCCUUCAAAAUUAAAAAUCCAUCUGCAAUUCUCCCCAAAACCCCAUGAAAUUUAUGCAAUAUUAUCCUGAAUUUCCAUUUGUGGCACUCCUAUGGGUGAAGGUAUGGUGCCAAGCUCAACUUAUCGUCGUCCAUUUUCAGAUUAAUUAACAGCCGUUGAAAUUAGUAUUUCUCCAAAAUCCCAUAUAAACUGAACCCAAAAAUUGGGUCCUAAUAAUUUCUCAUAUAAUCCUACUGUUCUCACUGAAGGGGGAAGGGGAGAGAAGAUUCGUCAACAAAGAGCCCCAAAGAUGCGAGGUAUUCACUUGAAAAAAAACGAGAGUGAUGCAAGUGUAAAAAAAAAUCUGAUUUCUUCAUGAUGCAACAAGAAUUUCGAUGAAGGCUUGAAGUCCUGAUUUGCUGCUUUGAAAAAGGUAAACACCUUGCUCUCUCUUUUUAGCUACUACAACAACAACAAUAAACCCAGUGUAAUCCCAUAAAAUGGGAUUUGAGUGGGUAAGAUGUACGCAGUUCAUGCCACUACCACUGAAGAAGUAGAGAGUCUGUUUCCGAUAGACCCCGGCUCAACAUGAAGAACAUUAAACAAAGGGAUGUAUGGCAUAAUAGAGAAGUCAGGAAUAAGAAAUAAUAAAAUAGGAAGUACGAACUACGAAACAUAUGGGUGACACGAAAUAAGAAAAGUACUAAGACAUAAGACAAAGGACACCUACCUAGUAGUAAGCUACACUAACAUAACACGUCACCUAUGAACACAGACUUAGGUUUACUAACCUGGCUACAAAGGAACUCACCUACCUGCAUGUUGCACCCCACACAUACACCUUAGCCAUCUACCCUUAUCCGCAACCUCCACAUUUUCCUAUCUAGGGUCAUAUCCUCAGUCAGCUGGAGCUGCUCCAUGUCAUGUUUAAUCACCUUCCUCCAGUAUUUCUUCGGUCUAUCUCUGCUCCUUUUGAAGCUAUCCAAAGCUAGUCUCUCACACCUCCGAACUGGAGCAUCCGUGCCCCUCCUCAUCACAUGCCCAAACCAUCUCAGUCUUCCUUCUCGUAUCUUGUCCUCCACUAAAGCCAUUCCCACCUUUUUCCGGAUAAUCUCAUUCCUAACCUUGUCACCUCUAGUAAGCCCACACAUCCAAUGCAACAUUCUCAUUUCCGCCACCUUCGAUUUUUGGAUGUGAGGGUGUUUGACUGGCCAACAUUCCGCUCCAUACAACAUGGCCGGACGUGCUGCCACUCUAUAGAAUUUUCCUUUAAGCUUAAGGGUCACGUUCUUAUCACACAACACUCCUGAGGCGAGCCUCCACUUCAUCCAACCUGCUCCAAUACGUUUAGAGACAUCCUCAUCAACCUCACCAUUCCCUUGAAUCGUAGAUCCAAGAUACUUAAAUCUGCCCGUCUUGCAGACCUCUUGAGAGCCCAACCUCACCACCCCUUCGUCCUCCUGUCUCAAUUCACUAAAAUUGCAUUCCAAAUACUUAGUUUUGGACCUACUCAACCUAAACCCCUUAGACUCAAGGGUUUGCCUCCAAAUCUCCAGUUUGUCAUUCACACCCCCUCGCGACUCAUCAAUCAACACUCCAUCAUCCGCAAAUAACAUACACCAAGGCACCUCAUCUUGAAUACUCUGCGUCAACACGUCCAUCACCAAAGUAAACAGGAACGAACUAAGAGUCGAUCCUUGAUGCAGCCGGGUCUCGAUCGGGAAAUGCUCUGAGUCUCCUUCCGCCGUCCUUACCCGGGUCUUUCCUCCAUCGUACAUGUCCUUAAUAGCUCUGAUGUACGCCACCGGAACCCCUCUCACCUCCAAGCAUCUCCAGAGAACUUCCCUUGAGACCCCUCUCUUUUUAGCUCCUGUUAAAGAUUUAUUUUUAUCCAUUAUUAGAUGUAGUUAAUGUAUUGUUGUUGUUGGAAUCUCACCAAGUGAGAAUGCUAGAAUUAUUUGUUGUAUAACACUCUAAAAGCCAUAGGGUUUUUGUUGAUGAUUAAGGUUGACCUUACGAGUUAGUGUUCUUAUUUCUUUUGAUUCCAAUGUUCUUGUUUUAGCUCCUUAAGCUUACUAUUUUAGCUUUCUAGCUUUAAAUCCAUUGUAUUAUUUUAGUUUGAGUGUUGCUUGCUAUAGUUUGAUUCAUUAUUUUAGUAUUAAUCAAAUGUGCUGGCUUUAACUUACCCUUUUUAGUUCACUGUUUUAAUUUAAAGCCUUUGUUGGAACCUUAGUUUGUUGUUUAUUUAGUCUAAGCUGUUUACUGUACUAAGAAAAUUAUAGUGGGUCACUUUCCUUAGAAGUAAAUAUCCCAUGAAGUUUUGGGGAUUUACAGUGUUGUUGAAAGUCGGAUAAGUUCAUUAGUAAAAUUAUUAAUGAAUCAUCGAUGACCUUUUUGUUUGUGGUCUAAUAUCACCGGCCAUAAAGAGGAUGAGGAUGAUCUAGGGUAUUUGUCUGUUUUUCUAUGAUUUUUCAUUGAUUUAAAGAAUAUCCUUAUUUUUUCAAGCUAUUUGUGUUACAAAAUGAAUAGGAGUCUAAAUAGUUUGUGUUGGGUCAUAAAACCAUUGAGAUAUUUACUUUCUCGUCUUUCUUUUCAUCUACUUUUUCUAUUGAUUCCCAGGUCCCCCCGCCCCCCUCCCCCUCCCCCCCUUCCUUUCUCCUAAAUGAUGACGUCAUAUGAUGAACGGUGGGAAUGUAGAGUCUUCAUCUCCAACGUGCAAAGUUCAAAAAUGGCUAUCUCAAGUUUCAAUAGCUUAUUUGUUUGUUCGAAACACCGCUUUGUGAUUAAUAAAAAUAAGUGAUUGAGGUUGAUUUUGUCCAGGUUUUGAUCUGGUUUAAUUUUAGACCAUUAUAUGAAACUUCAUUUUUAAGAUUACUUAGAAAGAAUUCACGUGUGUAUGAUGAUAUCUAUUUCUUUUCAGAAUUAUGUAGUGUAAGAGUUGAGGUAUAUUGCGCUGUCACUUGGUGUUCUAGUUUGGAUAUCUAUGUUAGAUAGAUUUAAUCUGUUCAUAAGCAUGUGUACCCCUUUCCCUUCUCCCCUGUAUGAUCACUGUUUUGGGGUUUGUUUUGAGUUUGCUCUGACUAAGCUAUGUGUGUAUUCAAAAAUCAGUUAGCUACUUGCAUCCACCUACUUGCAACGUGAGACUUUUUAGCAUGUAAGGUGAGUUGAUUUUGUGGUUUUACUGAAGUUGUCUAUGGUUGAUACUAGUUGGUUUCAAACUCUUGAACUUACUAAGAAUUUCGAUUGACGUGAUUCCGAUUUAAACUUGAAUAAUCCCACUAGUCAAGUUUCUAGCUGCAACACCUUCUUGAUAAUCUCUUUCGUGAUCUGAAAUUGAACCCAUAUUAUUUUAACAUGUUGCCCUAUGUUUGUACAUUGUCGGUUCAUGUUUUCUGCAUUAGCAUGACCACAUUGUCACUGUCCAGUGAUAUUACACAUAGGUUUUUAAAUGAAAUUUGAAUUUAAACUUCUCGGUAUGGGUUCACCAAGUGUUUCGGGUGAAACCGGUGAAUGAUAUCUCCUCUUGAAACAUGGAAAUUUGUGUUGUUUGAAUUAAGAGUCAGACAAGUCUUUCCUUAUAAUGUUCACUUGCUUUUAAUUCCUUAGUUGUAAUGAAGUUUGAAUUAAAAUACUUAUUCUUGUCAAGUAUAUUGUUCCAUCACCUAGAGAAUGUAUAUUAAUUUCCUUUUCUUUGUUUGAAUCAUGUGAAACCAAAGCAUUUGAGUCCAUCAUGGACUCAUCCUUGCAUUUCCCUGUGAAGACAAGAAAGAAAUGGGCUACAACCCAAGUGAAGUUGCAGGGGCAAAUCAAAAGGCUCUAAAAGUCCAAGAUUAGCCUAGGACAGGUGGGCAAGACCCAAAUUAAUUAGGACAGACGCAAAAAGUGAAUGGGAAUAGUCAUACACUAUCAUAGGCACUUCUAAUUUCUUUGGAGAUUAGGCUUAACCCACUUCAAGUUGGUUGUCCAUUUUUGACACUCGUAGGGGUUUGAGCCUUAAUGCCUAAACCACCUUC
rnacentral:lncRNA from 1 species